ncrna:unclassified sequences Glutamine riboswitch
UUCGUUCAUCUAUCUAGACGGAAGUAAGGCUUUUAGCCUGAAGGAACGCAUU